GCCCAGGUGGCGGAAUGGUAGACGCGCUACAUUCAGGGUGUAGUAUCCGAACGGAUGUGCAAGUUCGACUCUUGUUCUGGGCA
rnacentral:tRNA from 1 species